GACGGCUGAGCGCGGCAGGAGUCAUGGCUGCUCGCAGAGCUCUGCAUUUCGUUUUCAAAGUGGGAAAUCGCUUCCAGACGGCGCGUUUCUACCGGGACGUCCUGGGGAUGAAGGUUCUGCGGCAUGAGGAAUUUGAAGAAGGCUGCAAAGCUGCCUGUAAUGGGCCUUAUGAUGGGAAAUGGAGUAAAACAAUGGUGGGAUUUGGGCCUGAGGAUGACCAUUUUGUUGCAGAACUGACUUAAAAUUAUGGCAUCGGAGACUACAAGCUUGGCAAUGACUUUAUGGGUCUCACACUCGCUUCUAGCCAGGCUGUCAGCAAUGCCAGGAAGCUGGGGUGGCCGCUGACAGAAGUUGCAGAAGGUGUUUUUGAAACCGAGGCCCCAGGAGGAUAUAAGUUCUAUUUGCAGAAUUGCAGCCCACCUCAGUCAGAUCCUAUAGUAAAAGUAACUCUAGCAGUGUCUGAUCUUCAGAAGUCCUUGAACUACUGGUGUAAUCUACUAGGCAUGAAAAUUUAUGAAAAAGAUUAAGAAAAGCAAAGGGCUUUGCUGGGCUAUGCUGAUAACCAGUGUAAGCUGGAGCUACAGGGCAUGAAGGGUGUGGUGGACCAUGCAGCAGCAUUUGGAAGAAUUGCCUUCUCUUGCCCCCAGAAAGAGUUACCAGGCUUAGAAGAUUUGAUGAAAAGGGAGAAGCAGAAGAUUCUGACGCCCCUGGUGAGCCUGGAUACCCCUGGGAAAGCAACAGUGCAGGUGGUCAUUCUGGCCGACCCUGAUGGACAUGAAAUUUGCUUUGUUGGGGAUGAAGCAUUUCGAGAACUUUCUAAGAUGGAUCCAGAGGGAAGCAGAUUGUUGGAUGAUUCAAUGGCAGCAGAUAAAAGUGAUGAGUUGUUUGCUAAACACAGUAAACCCAAAGCUUCAGGUUAAUGGAAGCCAUCUUGCAGAGCAAGCAUUUGCGAUUACCGCCCAGUACCUGUGAGGCCUGACCUGUCCGUUCCUGAUAAAUGCUCUUCUGAUUUGUUUACCGUACAAGCAAGGAGGCUUUGUGUAUUUUAGUGUUUGGAAGCUGUGGUAUGUUUUAGAAAUG